GUGUCAAUCAAUAAACUGGGCUACCGAUCCCACUGUCAGACACCGAGCGAUCUGCUCUUUUUAAGAGCUUUAUAUUUAUAUAUUUAUGUGUAUGUGGAUGUCAAGGCGCAGUAUCUUCGCACAUACAAUAGAGCUGAGCUCAUGUUGGGUUUUUAAUAAGCCCGGCGUCCUCUGUGGUCGGAAGUCAGCCUUUUCUCUGCCUGAACAGUGAGCUGCAUCUGAACGCUUCCCCUUCUGCAUCACUGACCCUGAUGAAAGCAACGUUCCCUCCCCGCCAGCGCUGCAAUUUCCCCCAUACAACACACAGACCUGCAAGGUGUGAGUUUCAGAGGGGUGAUGGUUGCAGUGUGUGAGUCUGAAGGGUGAGGGGGUGAUCGCCUGGAUCAUCAGUACAGACACACGCACACGCUCUGUGACGUCCAGGAGGGGCGUCGCUGAGAAACUCCAUCCAAUCGAUGUCCCAGCAUGCUUUGCUCUCCACACCCUCGCAGCAUGCCUGAAAUCACAGCCCCCCUGCACUGCUCCAACCUGAUAAAUGACGUAAUAUGCAGAAUCAAGCACCGGCCUUCGGAUGAAAAGAAACAUGUCCGCCACUGUCCCCAUCGGAAUGGAAAGGAGGAAACGACCUCACCUCCUUAAGGAAUGACUUCAUACGGAAUUAUGUGCCGCCACAGUGUCUCCCAGUUUUACUGCGUCUUCCCAGUGUAAACGGUCCAGUUUACCCCAGUGUCACCAACUCACAGACUCACAUUCACACUGGCCUGAGGGCACUGACCCUUUUCAAACGAGCUUGAAACUGGAAGGGUUAGGACACAGCACGGGCGGAGGGGGGUUCUGAAAGAAACAGGUAGGCCAAACAGAUGCAGAUAUACUGUAUACAGAUAUAACAAUGUACAUCAGCAUCAGAUGUGAAAAGCAUGUUUAUUUCAUCACCCGUACUUGUGAAGUGUUGCUUGGCCUACUGCCCUGCUCUUUUGUGUUUACGAGUUAAACAGCUUGUUUUUCUGGCUGGCAGCGGUGUUUGAAUGAAGGAAGUUGUUUCCGUAUGACUCCUUACACCAUUCCUCACAGCCUCUCUGUCUCUGUCAGCCACCGGAAUAAAUCGGGUGAUUCAUGACUGCUAGAUCAUCAGUCACCCGACCAAAAGGCUUUUUCUGCAUAUAGCGUGCAUGUGUGUGUUUGUGUGUGCGUGCUUCAAGACGUAGAGCAUGCAAUAAAUCUCUUCUUUUAGCAUUGGGAGCGUGUGAGUGCGUCUGGAAGCCGGAGUGGCCCGAGGCUCCGCUCACUGGAACAAUGCAAAGAUCAAAGCCCUGAGGACUGACAGGUGAUGAGUGGCUUCCCCUGGCCGGAGCACCACAGCCAGGCUCACACCUGUACCAGGUGAUUACAGGUAGAUCUGCCUGCCUCUAAUUGGACAAUAAAUGCAGCUCUCAGCCAGCUAAUGGCAGCAGUCUGCCUCAGCGACGCCACGCUGCCAUUUGGCCGUCGCCAGCCCUACCUGAGUCUCUCUCUCUUUUUCUCUCACAGCUGAGAUGAUGACAUAGUCAAGGUCUAUUCAGAGCAAACAACAAGACAAAUUACAAUCCAAGCCUUUAAUGAGAGUCACAGAGAGGAGAGAAGCAGAGAGGGAAAUAGAGUCUCCUGUACUGCUCUGCUGACACUUACUGAAUGGAAGAUUUCUCUUUGUUUAUUUAUGUUUUGUCAUUACUUAACCUCUACACACUUCUACACGCUUAACUCAGUUUUGCAACUGAGGCUCACACUA